AGAGUUUGAUCCUGGCUCAGAACGAACGCUGGCGGCAGGCUUAACACAUGCAAGUCGAGCGGGCUCUUUCGGGGGUCAGCGGCGGACGGGUUAGUAACGCGUGGGAACGUGCCUUUUGCUUCGGAAUAGCUCUGGGAAACUGGGGGUAAUACCGGAUGUGCCCUGAGGGGGAAAGAUUUAUCGGCAAGAGAUCGGCCCGCGUCUGAUUAGGUAGUUGGUGGGGUAACGGCCCACCAAGCCGACGAUCGGUAGCUGGUUUGAGAGGAUGAUCAGCAACACUGGGACUGAGACACGGCCCAGACUCCUGCGGGAGGCAGCAGUGGGGAAUCUUAGACAAUGGGCGCAAGCCUGAUCUAGCCAUGCCGCGUGGGUGAUGAAGGCCUUAGGGUCGUAAAGCCCUUUCGCCGGGGAAGAUAAUGACGGUACCCGGUAAAGAAACCCCGGCUAACUCCGUGCCAGCAGCCGCGGUAAUACGGAGGGGGUUAGCGUUGUUCGGAAUGACUGGGCGUAAAGCGCGCGUAGGCGGAUCAGGAAGUUGGGGGUGAAAUCCCGGGGCUCAACCCCGGAAUGGCCUUCAAAACUCCUGGUCUUGAGUUCGAGAGAGGUGAGUGGAAUUCCGAGUGUAGAGGUGAAAUUCGUAGAUAUUCGGAGGAACACCAGUGGCGAAGGCGGCUCACUGGCUCGACACUGACGCUGAGGUGCGAAAGCGUGGGGAGCAAACAGGAUUAGAUACCCUAGUAGUCC
rnacentral:rRNA from 1 species